UAGAGAACUUUGCAGUUAAUCCAUUUUGAGAAAACCGUUGGAGAGUACACCAACAUCGUUGAGGAUCUCCGACUGACAAACCAGGAGCUGAAGAGGCAGUUAGAGGAAGCACUGGAGAGGACAUCUAUUGCAGCUCUUAAUGAGCCAGAAGCUCAGAAUGAAAGAGCGCUCAGUAGCCCUCUGUCCGUUGCUCAGGAAAUUCAGGCAAAAGCGGCUGCCCUGAUGGAGGAAAAUCUGAAGCUCACUGCAGAGAUAAGAAGCCUCCAGGAAGAAAAAUUGAAGGACCAGGCCAAACAACGCGAUAUCACUGCUGACCUGAAAACAGUUAAGGAGCAGAAGAGGCAGUUAGAGGAAGCACUGGAGAGGACCCCUAUUGAAAGAGCGAUCAGUCUCCCUCUGUCCAAUGACCUGCAGGGAAAUGAUGCUGCCCUAAUGGAGGAAAAUCAGAAGCUCACUGCACAGGUA
rnacentral:lncRNA from 1 species